rnacentral:rRNA from 1 species
UACGUAGGGUGCAAGCGUUAAUCGGAAUUACUGGGCGUAAAGCGUGCGCAGGCGGUUGUUCAAGACAGAUGUGAAAUCCCCGGGCUCAACCUGGGAAUUGCAUUUGUGACUGCACGGCUAGAGUGUGUCAGAGGGGGGUAGAAUUCCACGUGUAGCAGUGAAAUGCGUAGAGAUGUGGAGGAAUACCGAUGGCGAAGGCAGCCCCCUGGGACAACACUGACGCUCAUGCACGAAAGCGUGGGGAGCAAACAGG